ACAGACUUUCUUCUGUGCAUGCGUGAAUAUGAAUCAGAUAUAAUUAUAGCUUGGGAUAUGAAAAUAGUGCCAUAUUUAGCACCGAAAGUGCUGAGUUGGCAAUACCCUCUAGC